CAGCACCAAGUGCUGGCCACUAUUGAAGACCUCAAUGUUGGCCAUUUCUUGGACGGUUCUUCCAUUCCUCCCGUUCAUGCCACUGACGCAUACGCAACUACUACCACUACAACUCCAUAUUUUCUUCUCUAUCAAUAGGAUCGUUUUCUCGUAGCAUGGCUUUUGGCAUCUAUCUCUACUCCCCUUCUCACCAAAAUGGUUGAACUGCAAGGCCUCACAAAAUUUUGCAACGUCUCAUAACUUAUUACGCUACUCAGACUCAGCGUUCAAUUGCGUCAACCAAAACAAGAUCGUUCCAUUUCUUAAUAUUUGUUGGAUAUCAAGAAGUUGGUUGACACCGUAGCUCCUAUGGGUUCACCCAUCUCCUCUGUAGACCACAUCGAAUUCAUUCUUAAUGGAUUGCCAGAAGACCAUGAUUGGUUCAUCGUCACCUCUCGUUCUUGCACACGAAGAAAGGUUACAAAAACGUCGUCUUCAUGAUCAACAACUCGUUCAAGUUAAUCUCACUGCUUCAAACUUCAACUCAAGAUGUGGUUCAAGAUCCACUUCCAACCCACAUCGUGGUGGACGUGCUCAUUCCAACACUUACAAAUAAGCAAGGGGUACCUUCAAAACGUCUUCAAAGAGCAAAACCAAUAAAUUUUCUACAACACAACCCAGAGUGCAAUGUUAGAUAUGCGGAAAAAAUGGCCUUGCAGCCUCCACUGCCGACACAUGUUUGAUCAAAUCUUUCAAUCAUCUGUUUUGGCUAACUCUUCACAGGUCCAUUCUUCUGAUGACGCUACGUCUAUUCUAGGAACAUCAUACCAAUCCUUUGUGGUAUCCGGACAGUUGGGCCGCAUGUCAUCUACCAAAUGAUCUCUUCAAUCUUUCACAGAAACAACAGUCCAAAGGAUCUGAAGUUGUCAAACUAGGAAACGGGUCAGGAUUGUUUAGGGGCCAUAUAUGGAACUCAUGUUCGAGUAAGGGUGCCAAAAUCAUAUGCUCCGAGAUAUCGAGGAAGGAAAGAUUGCCCAACUCAAUGUGUUUGUCGCGUGUGAUUUUGAUAUGAAAUUCACAUAUGUUCCAGCUCGUUGGGAAGGCACAACAUCUGAUUCAAGAAUUUUAAAGGAUGCUCUUGCUCGAGAUGAUCCGUUGGUUAUCCGUCAAGGUUAGUGUGUUCAUUGCGAUCUUAACUUUUUGGUUAUUAGUGACUAAUAAAUACCACUGUAUGUACAAUAUUGUAAAAAAGUACUAUCUUGGCAAAGUUGGAUUUAUGUUGAAAAUAAUAAUUAUGAUACCAUAUAGAGGCAUCAGAUAUCACCUUAAAGAAUUUACAUGCAGAGGACCAAUGAAUAUAUGCGAGCUCUUUAACCACCGUCAUUCAUCCUUGAGAAAUGUUAUUGAAAGAACAUUUGGUGUGUUAAAAAAAGGUUCUCUAUUAUUGCUAAUGGCGUUGAACCACAUUUUGGGUUGGAAACUAUGACAGACAUUAUAUUAGCUUGUUGUAUCCUACACAACUUCCUUCGAGGCGUGGAUAAUGCUGACUCAUUACUUGAUGAGGUUGAUGAUGAAGUGAAUGAAAGGGAAGACCAUACAACAUCAUCUUAAGUUUGUGAAGAAAAUUAUUGGCUUGGUAGUAGUAUUAGGGAUUGUUGAUAGGGGGAGCACAAUGUUAGCUAAAUCUAAUCCUUGUGAUAUUUGUUUUUUAUGAUGACAACACAUUGUUAAUAAAAACACAUGUAUGUGUACUGCGUUAUGUGUUA